rnacentral:rRNA from 1 species
GUGCCAGCAGCCGCGGUAAUACGUAGGCAGCGAGCGUUGUACGGAAUUACUGGGCGUAAAGAGUGUGUAGGCGGUGUUCCCAGUCUGUUGUGAAAUCUCCCGGCUUAACUGGGAGGGUGCAGCGGAAACUAGAAUGCUAGAGGGUGGGAGAGGUAAGCGGAAUUCCUGGUGUAGCGGUGAAAUGCGUAGAUAUCAGGAGGAACACCUGUGGUGUAGACAGCUUACUGGACCACUUCUGACGCUGAGACACGAAAGCGUGGGUAGCAAACAGGAUUAGAUACCCCCGUAGUCC